UACGUAGGUGGCGAGCGUUGUUCGGAAUUAUUGGGCGUAAAGGGUCCGCAGGUGGUUUGAUAAGUCUGGUGUGAAAUCUCACGGCUCAACCGUGAAACUGCAUUGGAAACUGUUGAACUAGAGUAUCGGAGAGGUCAUUGGAAUUUCAAGUGUAGCGGUGGAAUGCGUAGAUAUUUGAAAGAACACCAAGAGCGUAGGCAGAUGACUGGACGAUAACUGACACUCAGGGACGAAAGUAUGGGGAGCAAACAGG
rnacentral:rRNA from 1 species